rnacentral:rRNA from 1 species
AGCCAUGCGAGUCAACGCCGAAAGGCGUGGCAUACGGCUCAGUAACACGUAGUCAACAUGCCCAAAGGACGUGGAUAACCUCGGGAAACUGAGGAUAGACCGCGAUAGGCCAAGGUUUCUGGAAUGAGCCAUGGCCGAAAUCUACAUGGCCUUUGGAUUGGACCGCGGACGAUCAGGCUGUUGGUGUGGUAAUGGCCCACCAAACCUGUAACCGGUACGGGCUUUGAGAGAAGGAGCCCGGAGAUGGGCACUGAGACAAGGGCCCAGGCCCUAUGGGGCGCAGCAGGCGCGAAACCUCUGCAAUAGGCGAAGGCCUGACAGGGUUACUCUGAGUGAUGCCCGCUAAGGGUAUCUUUUGGCACCUCUAAAAAUGGUGCAGAAUAAGGGGUGGGCAAGUCUGGUGUCAGCCGCCGCGGUAAUACCAGCACCCCGAGUGGUCGGGACGUUUAUUGGGCCUAAAGCAUCCGUAGCCGGUUCUACAAGUCUUCCGUUAAAUCCACCUGCUUAACAGAUGGGCUGCGGAAGAUACUAUAGAGCUAGGAGGCGGGAGAGGCAAGCGGUACUCGAUGGGUAGGGGUAGAAUCCGUU